UACAGAGGUUGCAAGCGUUAAUCGGAAUUACUGGGCGUAAAGCGCGCGUAGGUGGCAAGUUAAGUUGGAUGUGAAAGCCCUGGGCUCAACCUGGGAACUGCAUUUGGGACUGUAAGGCUAGAGUGUGUCAGAGGGAGGUGGAAUUCCACGUGUAGCAGUGAAAUGCGUAGAUAUGUGGAGGAACAUCUAUGGCGAAGGCAGCCUCCUGGGAUAACACUGACGCUCAUGCACGAAAGCGUGGGGAGCAAACAGG
rnacentral:rRNA from 1 species